AUCCAGCUGAUAAGUCGUAAAUAGGACGAAACGCGAGUUCUGGAU
rnacentral:hammerhead_ribozyme from 1 species